UACGGGGGGGGCAAGCGUUGUUCGGAAUUACUGGGCGUAAAGGGCUCGUAGGCGGCCAACUAAGUCAGACGUGAAAUCCCUCGGCUUAACCUGGGAACUGCGUGUGAUACUGGAUGGCUUGAAUUCGGGAGAGGGAUGCAGAAUUCCAGGUGUAGCGGUGAAAUGCGUAGAUAUCUGGAGGAACACCGGUGGCGAAGGCGGCAUCCUGGACCGGCAUUGACGCUGAGGCGCGAAAGCUAGGGGAGCAAACGGGG
rnacentral:rRNA from 1 species